rnacentral:tRNA from 1 species
AGCUCAGUGUAGAGCAUGUGCUUAGCAUGCACAAGGUCCUGGGUUCAAUCCCUAG